UACGGAGGGGGCUAGCGUUGUUCGGAAUUACUGGGCGUAAAGCGCACGUAGGCGGCUAUUCAAGUCAGAGGUGAAAGCCCGGGGCUCAACCCCGGAACUGCCUUUGAAACUAGAUAGCUUGAAUCACGGAGAGGUGGGUGGAAUUCCGAGUGUAGAGGUGAAAUUCGUAGAUAUUCGGAGGAAUACCAGUGGCGCAAGCGGUUAACUGGACGGGCAUUGACGCUCAGAUACGAAAGCAUGGGGAGCAAACAGG
rnacentral:rRNA from 1 species